rnacentral:misc_RNA from 1 species
GAAUGAUCGUCAACAAAAUGUAACUAAAUAUUUGAAUUCAGAUUUGGAAACAACAGGACAUAGACCCCAAACAUCAUAAUGAACCAACUCAAAGGGGGACAAAGCUUGUUUAUUGACUCAAGACAAAUCUUACAUCCAAAGAUUGGUGAUGAAAAUAUGGUUUUAUGAUCAAAGAAAUUUACCUUUCAAUAGGUAGAGUGAGAUAGGAGAAAGAGAGA